AUUGAACGCUGGCGGCAGGCCUAACACAUGCAAGUCGAACGAGUGGCGGACGGGUGAGUAAUGUCUGGGAAACUGCCUGCUGGAGGGGAUAACUACUGGAAACGGUAGCUAAUACCGCAUACCAUCGGUAGUCGCCAGAUGGGAUUAGCUAGGAGGUGGGGGAAAGGCUCACCUAGGCGACGCUCCCUAGCUGGUCUGAGAGGAUGACCAGCCACACUGGAACUGAGACACGGUCCAGACUCCUACGGGAGGCAGCAGUGGGGAAUAUUGCACAAUGGGCGCAAGCCUGAUGCAGCCAUGCCGCGUGUAUGAAGAAGGCCUGCGGGUUGUAAAGUACUUUCAGCGGGGAGGCGUUACCCGCAGAAGAAGCACCGGCUAACUCCGUGCCAGCAGCCGCGGUAAUAC
rnacentral:rRNA from 1 species